GUGUGUAUAUGUAUAUACACGUGUGUGUGUGUACAUACAUACAUUAUAUAGAUAUAUUAUGUAUGUACAAUACCUACAAUAUAAAAAUAUCAGACUCUCACACAAGUCCUAAAAGCUUUAAUACACACACAAGUCCUAAAUAUAUAGAAAAUUCUAAAGGGUUCACAAAUUUUGCAAGCACCACUGUAGGUAUAUUACCAUUAUGCUUUCCCCCCUUAAGAUUUUGGAGAGUUUUCCCAUCUUCUUGUUUCCUUGUCGAGUACCAAUAGCAAAGUCAUCCCCUUGUGACCUUGAACCUCACAUGGGUAACCAAAGGUCCCUGGUAUGUUGCGCUUGUCCUUGUCAGUUAUUGUCAAAUUGACUGAUCUAGGUGGCUCUCUCAGUCCUCUAGUUAGAACUACUGUUACAUAGUUAACCUUGCGUUAUUUUCUUCCAUUGCUGGCCACAAGAACAGUUUUCUUCUGAACUAAUUUCGGAUGUGUAUUAAAGCCAUUGCAAGAGUUUGAUGGUGCACCUCACCAGACAAUAACAGGCAGCACUCAUAAAUAGUGCAAACAGCAUACUUUAUAGAAACUGAGAAAUCACUCAGCCAUGUGUUAUACUGCUUCUUAUUAAGGAUGACAGUCACUCCAAAUGGCAGUAGUAUUGAAUAUUGAGCAUAAGAAUCACUUAACAUUCUGAUACUGUUUUUUUUUUUUUGAGGAUGAGGAUUACUAAAUGAGCUGAUAUUGUAGUCUACUGAGCAUAAGAAUCAGUCAGAGUAUUAAUGCUGAUAUACGAGCUCCAAAACAUUCCUUAUGUUGGAGCAUAAGGGGUUUAUGACUACUGUUUCACACCAAACAACAUUCCACUGCAUUAGUUUCAGUCCGCAAUAGUACAUACGGCCCUUUGAGGGGUUGAUGGGUUGCUAAAAAUGCUGCAGUUCUAGCCACACAGAUUUUAUUUUGAGUAUGUUUUUUUUUUCUUCCACAAGCUGACCUCCCAUUUCUGUUGUUACUGGUUCCAGUUUUACAGGGAGAAUACCUAAGGGCAUAUCCUGAAGCAGAAAAUGCAAGCUGGUCCAACACCUCAGGGCACAUUCUUGUCAACAAUACAGUCACAUGCUUCUGGCUCACAAGUCGUUGGCUCUGGCUCAACAUGUUGUUGAGCAUGCUGAAAUGGUUUCCAGUUUUACCACUGGGUUGCUGACAUUUUCUUUGCCAGACAUUGAAAGUCUAUAUGCACUCCUCUCCAAAAAUAUUGGAAUGGCAAGGCCAUUUUAUUUGUUUUUUGCUGUAGACUGAAGACAUUUGUGUUUGAGAUCAAAAGAUGAAUAUGAGAACAGUGUUUAGAAUUUCAGCUUUUAAUUCCUGGUAUUUAUGUGUACAUGUCUUAAACAAUAUGGAACAUAGCACAUUUUAUAUCAAACCACUUGUAGGUGGGCAAAAAUAUUUGAACAUGUGACUGAUAGAUGUUUCAUGUUACCCAGGUGUAUCUUGUUAGAUUGAUUGUUUAAACAUAAAUAGUUUAACCUGUGAAGACUGCAUUUGUUGUUAAAAAUGUUAACACCACAUGAAGAUCAGAGAACUGUCUAGGGGAGAAAUGCAAGCCAUUUUGAAGCUGAGAAAAUAGGUCAAAUCUAAAUUAGAGGCAUUGCACAAAUUUUGGGCAUAGCCAAUACAACAAUUUGGAAUGUCCAGAAAAAGAAAGAAACCACUGGUGUACUGAGCAAUAGAUACUGAAUGGGUCAGCCAAGGAAAACAACAGCAGCUGAUGAGAGAAACAUUGUGAGAGCUGUGGAAAAACCCCCUCCAAAACAACAGUCCGUAACAUCACCAACAACCUCCACAGGGCAGGGUGAAGGUGUCACAAUCUGCUGUUCGAAGAAGACUUUAAGAGCAGAAAUAUAGAGGCUAUACCACAAGAUGCAAACCACUCAUCUGCAGGAAGAACCUGAAAGCCAGAUCGGAAUUCACACAAAAAUACAGAGAUGAGGCACAAAAGUUCUGGAACCAAGAUUAACCUCUACCAAAGUGAUGUAAAGGCCAAAGUGUGGAGAAACAAAGGAUCAGCUCAUGAUUCAAAACAUACAAGCUUAUCUUUGAAACAUGGUGGAGGCCAUGGCUCGGGCUUACAUAUCUGCUUCUGGAACAGGCUCAUUAAUCUUUAUAGAUGAUGUAAUGAUGGUAGCAGCAGAAUGAAUUCAGAAGUUUACGGGAACAUUUUGUCUCAUUAAAGAGAAAUGCAUCCAAAUUAAUCAUAAGGAACUUUAUCAUGGAGCAAGACAAUUAUUCAAAACAUACUAGGAAAGGACUUGAUCAUGGCAAAAAGUGGAAGGUAUUAGACUCGACAAGUCAAUCACGAGAUCUUAACCCAGCUGAACAUGCAUUUCACCUCCUGAGGAGGAGACUGAAGGGAGAAACCCCCUGAAACAAACAACUGAACGAGGCUACAGGAAAAGCAUUACAAAAGAAGAAACCAACAAUUUGCUGAUGUCAGUGUGUUGAUGCAGUUAUUGCAAGCAAGGAAUAUGGAAGAAAAUAUUAAGUGUUGUUUACUUUAAUUUACUUCAAGACUAAUCUGUUCCUAUACUUUUGCUUGCCUAAAAGUUGGGUGGUCUGGUACAAAAUAUUCAGUGUUUUAUGUUGUGUAACACAUCUAGAUGUAAAUACCAACAAUUGAAAUAAAAGAUGAAAUCCUAAACUCGAGUAUCAUAUCCAUCAUUUGAUCUCAAACCCAAAUGUCUUUGGUGUUAGCACAAACAACUGAAUUGGUCUUCCCAUUCCACUAGUUUCAGAGGGGACUGUAUGAUUGCCUUUAUGAUCAAGACGGCUCCAUCUUCCGUCAAAAAGGCUCGCAUGACCUACAAGUCAAGUUUAAUGCCUGUAAAUGUAAAGGAUUAGACAUUGUCCAGACAUAGGGUGUAUUGCAACACAAUAAUAAUGGUGAAAAUAGUAAUAAGCGAAAUAUUAUAACUAACCUAUGAUGUGCAUCAACACACACUCUCUAUAGGUGCAAGAUUAGCCAAAAAUAAAUGAAUAAAUAAAAAUCAAGGGUUUAGAAAACUUUAAUCUUCUUCCUUGAAUUCACUUCCUCAACAAAGUGAGAAUAGGAAAGAGGAGUUGCACAACAGCGAGGAACUUUUAUAUCCUACCCAAAUGGGCUCACAGUCACAAGGUUGAUGACUCUGAUAUUAAUAUAGUUAUAUUAAUAUUGGUACUUAUCUGAGUGGUCCACAGCAAGAAAAUUUCCCUGGUGGUCCACAGCAAAAGGAAAUUAUGCUAUUUAUAAUAAGCUAAACGUAGUGCUUCAGUUUAAAAUAUUAUCUAUCUAUAAUGUUGGGGUAGCUAAUAUGAACAUUAGGGAACAUGAUGUUAGUAAAAAUAUUAUAUAUUUUUUGUAUAAUAAUAUAUAAUCUUAUAUAUUCUCCUUUAACGUGUGAUUUUAACACUCUAUAAGACUGUUAGAAAAUCUGAAAAAUCUCAAACUGCUUCACUUCUGGUUGUCUUUAAUAUCCAACAACAUGGUGUUGGUUACCACAUUAAGUGCAGGUAUGAUGGCCUCCACCUAUGCAUCUCUACAUGCACAUCCAAUUCCCCCUGCCGCACCUCCAGACCCCCUAAAAGACCACAUGAUCACACAUAGGCGAGCAUAAAAGUAUAAACCAGGCCUUAGCUGUUAGGUGCUAGCUAUAUUAUCUUCCAUGCUAAUGACUCAGAAAAGGAAUAGACAGGGUGGGUAUAACAAGCAUUAUAAAACUGGCAGUAUGGCACUGCCCUUGACCUUCAGUAUAUCCAUUUACACAUUAAAUGAUCCAAGUGUAAACAUUUUGACACACUAAUAUUCCCUGUAUGCAUUUUUUCACUAGCCUUAAAGUGUUUUUAUGUUUUCUUUCACUUUAAUGUAUUUCAGCAACUACGAGCAUUAUAUCAGUUCUUGGACCUCUGUCUGACACCAAGCUAAUCAAGCCUUCUGCUUCAUUAUUCCUUACAGGCUGCUUUCCUUUUAUGAACCACAUUCCAUGUGUUCUGUAAAAAAAAUAAUCUGGAUUAUUUUUUUUUUAAUCUUAUUUUCUAAUCUAAAAAGACAAAUAAAAAAAAUCCUUCUAUAGCUGGGAUUAUUGAAUAGCAAUAACCUACAUGGAACAUGUCUGGACAACAUUGCAGAAAAGUCUAGACAAUUCCUGGCAUGGCCAGUAUAGACAAGAAAAUUUGUUCUAUAGAUAACUUUCAUUUGUGUAUGAACUACUCCCACACUGAAACACAAAGGACACUUUUUAAAAACUCCAUUAGCCUUAUAUUUACACCUUUUUACCUCUAUGUAUGACUAUCUAAUUUACUAGACUGGCUGGUCAUUGUUGUGGAAAGGUAAAAAGGUUAAUGGCAAGGUUAUACUUAUACAUUUGAAGUAAAAAUUACAGAUACGUUGUGGUAUACAAUUUCUUUACCGAAAUAUGCUGGUUCUUGGGUUUUCAGAAAAGACAAGUAAAUAUCUUGAAAAUAUUUAUUUAUAUAGUGGGGGAAAUAAGUACUGGACGCGUCAACAUUAUUUUCAGUAAAUAUAUUUUCAAUGAGGCUAUUCGUAUGAAAUUUUCACCAUACAUCAGUAUUAAUUCAAGAAAUCCCCAAAUAUAAAGAAUUCACAACAUUAAAGUCCAUAAAUUAAGUUAUUUGAAAUAAAGUGGAAUGACACAAGAAAAAAGUAUUGAACACGCCAACUGAAAUUUAUUUAAUACUUAAUGGAGAAGCCUUUGUUUGUAAUGACAGCUUCAAGAUGCUUCCUGUAUGAAGAAAUUAAUCGGCCACAGUAUUCAGGUGUGAUUUUGGCCCAUUCUUCUAAACAUAUUGUCUUUAAAUUUUGUUCAGUUGGAUUCAAGUCAGGUUAUUGACUGGGUCAUUCUAAUGCCAUGAUACACCUUCAUGCGAGUAGUCCAAUUGGAAAUAUAUUUUAUGAAAAAAAUGUUGACUCGUGUAAUAUUUAUGUAUUUCCCCCACUGUAUUGACAAGAAUCAAAAUUGAGAUGUAUAAACAAAAGGUGAAAUUUACCUCAUGACAUUAGACACCCCCCCGACUGAUAAAUCUCUUCAUCACUGUUACUGGAGCAUUUAUUAAUGGUGGGAAACUCUAGUGUUGUACAAUAACUGUUAUUUCUUGAAGAUCUCAAAUUAUAGGAUGCAAGGAAAUGUUAGAUGCAAUAUUCCUUUUAUAGCUUAGCAAAAGGUUUUAUGUUACAUUUAAAAGUAGAUGUAGAACACUGAGCUUGUAUAUAAGUAUGUUUUCCUCUAUGGAAAACAUGACAGUGAGAGAAUAGAAAAAAACUAUGAUAAUGAAAUGUAGUUUUUACACUGAACUUGUGCAGGAUAAUAUAACAUAUUUCACUCUGUAUAUCUAUCUGUUUAUGGAGACACACAAGGGACAUUUUCCCUAAAAGAGCUGGAUGUUAUAAGGAAAUGUAAUACUAAACCAUAAACCCAAAUGUGGUGUUAGUGGAUUUUAAAUAAUGUACAGUUUCUGUGACUUUCUCCCUUCUAUAUUUUUACAGAAAUAUAAUUUUUAAAAGUUAGCUUUAUGUUAUCAUGUUGUUUUAAAGUGAUAUACCGUGCAUCUGUAGAAUGUACUGCAAGCAGAAAUAAAAUGAGUUUCAAUACUCACUUGGAUUUACCUUAUUCUGUCUGUGUUUUUUUUGUUUGUUUGUUUGUUUUUUGCUAUGCAUGUGAGCAAAGUUUGUUGAAUUAGGUCUCAUUAAACAGAGAUAACUAAAUUUGUGCUGAAAUUUGACUAUUCAGUCUGUUAUUUCUGUCUGUCAGUCUGUCACUCACUGUGCCAGUGAUUUGUAAUCCUUGGGAGAGAGAGAUAAUGCUUUAUAUAAUUAAUCUUACAAUCUACAACCCCAAUUCCAAAAACAUUGGGGUUCUGUGUAAAAUGUAAAUAAAAAUAGAAUGCAAUGCUUUGAAAAUCUCAUAAACCCACAUGUGUUUCACAAUAGAACACAGAAAACAUAUCAAAUGUUUAAACUGAGGAAAUAAGGUAAAAGAAAAAUAAUAAGGUAAUUUUGAAGUUGAUGGCUGCAACACAUCUCAAAAAAGUUGGGAUGGGGCAACAAAAAGCUGGAAAAGUAAGUGUUACUAAAAGGAAACUGCUGGAGGUUAAUUGGCAACAGGUCAGUAACAUGAGUGGGUAUAAAAUAUAGUAUCUUAGAGAGGCAGAGUCUUUCAGAAGUAAAGAUUGGCAGCGGUUCACUCAUCUGUGAAAAACUAUGUAUACAAUUUGUGGAACAAUUUCAGAAUAAUGUUCCUCAAUGUAAAAUUGCAAAGACUGAAUAUCUCAAUCUACAUAAUCAAAAGAUUCAGAGGAUCUGGAGAAAUCUCUGUGCGCAAUGGAAAAGGGUGAAAAUCAAUAUUGCAUGCCCAUUACCU
ensembl:lncRNA